AACAAACGCUGGCGGCGUGUCUUAAGCAUGCAAGUCGAGCGGCAAGGGCAGCAAUGCCCCUAGAGCGGCGGACUGGUGAGUAACGCGUGGGUGAUCUACCUUGGGCAUGGGGAUAGCCAUUAGAAAUAGUGGGUAAUACCGAAUACGUUCGUUAUCGUGAGGGUAACGAGGAAAGGCGCUACGGCGCCGGCCUGAAGAUGAGCUUGCGUCCCAUUAGCUAGUUGGUGAGGUAACGGCCCACCAAGGCGAUGAUGGGUAGCCGGCCUGAGAGGGUGUAAGGCCACACGGGGACUGCACUACGGCCCAGACUCCUACGGGGGGCAGCAGCUAAGAAUAUUCCGCAAUGGACGAAAUGCUGACGGGGCGACGCCGCGUGGAUGAAGAAGGCCGAAGGGUUGUAAAGUCCUUUUGCUGGGGAAGAAUAAGUCUGGGAGGGAAUGCCCGGAUGAUGACAUGAACCGGCGAAUAAGCCCCGGCUAACUACGUGCCAGCAGCCGCCGUAACAC
rnacentral:rRNA from 1 species